AGAUCGACUAGGAUAAAAUAGUGGCUCCCACGACCCCCUCACAAGGAUUCCAUAAAUAUUUCUGCUUCUGGCUUUACUCAUUAAGAUAGAAAGCAGGAGACCUUGAGAUCAUUCUGCUGACUUAGGCCUUCUUACCUGUUCUGUCAGAGCCUCACGAGAGGAGGCACACACACACACACCCCCCCCCACACACACUGUAUAAACACACAGUUUUUUUUAAUAGGAGAUGAUGCCUGUGAUAUUUAUGAUCACUUAAUAUGUUUAAAAAUACAUAGUCAGCCUACAGUGACUGUUUCUUCCUAGAUUCGUGAAUCAUGAUUCCAGUGAGUGGUGGUGGCUGUGAAGUGUGAUUUGAGCCUAGCAGGUGGGCUUUCCUUAGGCACUGGAUUCUGACAGAUAAAGCAGUGCUGACCAGAUGUCACAUAUAUGUGACUGCCCGUAAGCAGUGACCCUCUGGUACUGUGUCUGAGUUUAUGUAAAAACUGCUUCUUGGUA
rnacentral:lncRNA from 1 species